ACUCCUACGGGAGGCAGCAGUGGGGAAUAUUGCACAAUGGGGGAAACCCUGAUGCAGCCAUGCCGCGUGUGUGAAGAAGGCCUUGGUUGUAAAGCACUUUCAGUAGGGAGGAAGGUAGUGUAGUUAACACCUGCAUUAUUUGACGUUACCUACAGAAGAAGCACCGGCUAACUCCGUGCCAGCAGCCGCGGUAAUACGGAGGGUGCGAGCGUUAAUCGGAAUUACUGGGCGUAAAGCGCAUGCAGGCGGCCUGUUAAGUCAGAUGUGAAAGCCCGGGGUCUUAACCUCGGAAUUGCAUUUGAAACUGGCAGGCUAGAGUCUUGUAGAGGGGUUAGAAUUUCAGGUGUAGCGGUGAAAUGCGUAGAGAUCUGAAGGAAUACCAGUGGCGAAGGCGGCCCCUGGACAAAGACUGACGCUCAGAUGCGAAAGGCGUGGGAGCAAACAGGAUUAGAUACCCCGUGGUAGACUGUCA
rnacentral:rRNA from 1 species